rnacentral:rRNA from 1 species
UACAGAGGUCUCAAGCGUUGUUCGGAUUCAUUGGGCGUAAAGGGUGCGUAGGUGGCGCUGUAAGUCGGGUGUGAAAUUUCGGAGCUUAACUCCGAAACUGCAUUCGAUACUGCGGUGCUUGAGGACUGGAGAGGAGACUGGAAUUCAUGGUGUAGCAGUGAAAUGCGCAGAUAUCAGGAGGAACACCGGUGGCGAAGGCGGGUCUCUGGGCCGAUACUGACGCUGAGGAGCGAAAGCGUGGGGAGCGAACAGG